UGGGGAAUAUUGCACAAUGGGCGCAAGCCUGAUGCAGCCAUGCCGCGUGUGUGAAGAAGGCCUUCGGGUUGUAAAGCACUUUCAGCGGGGAGGAAGGCGAUAAGGUUAAUAACCUUGUCGAUUGACGUUACCCGCAGAAGAAGCACCGGCUAACUCCGUGCCAGCAGCCGCGGUAAUACGGAGGGUGCAAGCGUUAAUCGGAAUUACUGGGCGUAAAGCGCACGCAGGCGGUCUGUCAAGUCGGAUGUGAAAUCCCCGGGCUCAACCUGGGAACUGCAAUCGAAACUGGCAGGCUAGAGUCUUGUAGAGGGGGGUAGAAUUCCAGGUGUAGCGGUGAGAUGCGUAGAGAUCUGGAGGAAUACCGGUGGCGAAGGCGGCCCCCUGGACAAAGACUGACGCUCAGGUGCGAAAGAGUGGGGAGCAAACAGG
rnacentral:rRNA from 1 species